rnacentral:rRNA from 1 species
AACGGCUGAGUAACACGUGGGCAACCUGCCCUUUGCACUGGGAUAGCCUCGGGAAACCGAGGUUAAUACCGGAUACUCCAUAUUUGUCGCAUGGCGAAUAUGGGAAAGCUCCGGCGGCAAAGGAUGGGCCCGCGGCCUGUUAGCUAGUUGGUGGGGUAGUGGCCUACCAAGGCAAUGAUGGGUAGCCGGGUUGAGAGACCGACCGGCCAGAUUGGGACUGAGACACGGCCCAGACUCCUACGGGAGGCAGCAGC